GACGAACGCUGGCGGCGUGCUUAACACAUGCAAGUCGAACGGAAAGGCCCUGCUUUUGUGGGGUGCUCGAGUGGCGAACGGGUGAGUAACACGUGAGUAACCUGCCCUUGACUUUGGGAUAACUUCAGGAAACUGGGGCUAAUACCGGAUAGGAGCUCCUGCUGCAUGGUGGGGGUUGGAAAGUUUCGGCGGUUGGGGAUGGACUCGCGGCUUAUCAGCUUGUUGGGGGGGUAGUGGCUUACCAAGGCUUUGACGGGUAGCCGGCCUGAGAGGGUGACCGGCCACAUUGGGACUGAGGUACGGCCCAGACUCCUACGGGAGGCAGCAGUGGGGAAUAUUGCACAGUGGGCGGAAGCCUGAUGCAGCAACGCCGCGUGCGGGAUGACGGCCUUCGGGUUGUAAACCGCUUUCGCCUGUGACGAAGCGUGAGUGACGGUAAUGGGUAAAGAAGCACCGGCUAACUACGUG
rnacentral:rRNA from 1 species